rnacentral:rRNA from 1 species
CAAUGGGCGAAAGCCUGACAGAGCAAUACCGCGUGAGGGAUGAAGACUUACUGAGUUGUAAACCUCGGUGCCUUAAGGAAGAAGAUCUGACGGUACUUAAGGUGGAAAGCAUCGGCUAACUCCGUG